UCGACCUCAGAUCAGACGAGAUGACCCGCUGAAU
rnacentral:rRNA from 1 species